AGAGUUUGAUCAUGGCUCAGAACGUACGCUGGCGGCACGCCUAACACAUGCAAGUCGAACGAAGUAGCAAUACUUAGUGGCAGACGGGUGAGUAACAUGUAGGUAUCUGCCCUUUGGCCUGGAAUAACACGAGGAAACUUGUGCUAAUACCGGAUAAGUCUUUACGGAGAAAGCUUUAUGCACCAUUGGAUGAGCCUGCACUUGAUUAGUUUGUUGGUGGGGUAAUGGCCUACCAAGACUGUGAUCAAUAGCUGAUUUGAGAGGAUGAUCAGCCACAUUGGGACUGAGACACGGCCCAAACUCCUACGGGAGGCAGCAGUGGGGAAUCUUGCACAAUGGAGGAAACUCUGAUGCAGCGAUGCCGCGUGAGUGAAGAAGGCCUUUGGGUUGUAAAGCUCUUUCGUCGGGGAAGAAAAUGACUGUACCCGAAUAAGAAGGUCCGGCUAACUUCGUGCCAGCAGCCGCGGUAAUACGAAGGGACCUAGCGUAGUUCGGAAAUACUGGGCUUAAAGAGUUCGUAGGUGGUUGAAAAAGUUAGUGGUGAAAUCCCAGAGCUUAACUCUGGAACUGCCAUUAAAACUUUUCAGCUAGAGUAUGAUAGAGGAAAGCAGAAUUUCUAGUGUAGAGGUGAAAUUCGUAGAUAUUAGAAAGAAUACCAAUUGCGAAGGCAGCUUUCUGGAUCAUUACUGACGCUGAGGAACGAAGGCAUGGGUAGCGAAGAGGAUUAGAUACCCUCGUAGUCCAUGCCGUAAACGAUGUGUGUUAGACGUUGGAAAUUUAUUUUCAGUGUCGCAGCGAAAGCGUUAAACACACCGCCUGGGGAGUACGACCGCAAGGUUAAAACUCAAAUGAAUUGACGGGGACCCGCACAAGUAGUGGAGCAUGUGGG
rnacentral:rRNA from 1 species